AAGAGAUGAUAUAAUACAAUGGUAAAGUGAGGCGCUUCUCUCAAUCGAAGAAUGAACGAAGUUGGUCGUCAAUGGCUGCCUGUAAUUGCUCUCAGGCCAUAGACGAGCCGCCCUGUUCUGUAUCAGCUCCAGCAGGUGGGUACUCUACCUCAUCAGGUCUAUGGCGGCUAGCACCGCUCUGAGGAUACUCGACCUCUCUUCUUCUGCUGCGGCCAGCACCGCGGUCGCAUAAACUACGAGACUGUAGAAGUCGUCUACUCCUGCUGCUAGAUCGAGUGAGUGUGGUCCUCCUCUUCCUCCCAGAUUCACGAGGCUCGAAUGAUGAAUGCCUCGUAGGGACAUGCAAAAUCUCCAGCUCUCUAGGCUCAGGCCUGCGCCGACUUGGCUCAGGUGCGGCAUAUCUCCUCGAGGGCAUGUCCUGAGGGAGCUGUCCCUUCGGAAUAUCUGUAGUGGAAGAGGAGCAGCUGAGCUUGGCCUUCUGAAGCUUGAUAGCUCUGAGGCACUUGGCGAGUAACUUAUCCUGUUUCUUGCACCACUUCUGCAACUUGCUGUUGUUCCUGUGAGCUUCGCUCAAACUCUUGCUUUCCCUCGUUGGAGGUAUAUGCUCACGGAAAUGAUACAUGCUCGUGUCAAACUCCGCCUCAUCUAUUUCAUCUGUCUCAUCAGCAUCUUCUGUUGUAGCUCCUUCGGUGUGACUAAUCACCUCAGUUGGCGGACUGCCCUCGAAAUAAAGAUCUUCAAGUGCAGGCUUGAAGUCAAUGUUCCUUCCCUCGAGAAUCCUAGUAGUGUCAAUUCAGGGGAGAAGAAUGUUGACGAUUCUAAUCGAUGAAUGCUCGAAUUUGUAGCGGUCGAAGUCGCCAACCAUGUCAUACUCCAAGAACUCACAUCGGCGCAAAUGAUCCAAGUCCAUCAUUCUAGGUGCUACACCUGGUUCCUUGAGCGGUACUCCACAAGCUUCCAGAAUUGGUGUCACAAUGCCACCCACGCAUAGUGCUCUUCUCACCUUGUUCUUGCCGUUUGUCAACGCCCACUUCUUGUAUCCACACAUGUGGAUCAGUAGAGGCAUUACUGGUGGUGCGUUGUUGAGAUCGCCUCUCAAGACAUUCUUUCCCUUUGUACGGCGAAGAAUCUUUGUAAGCGAGGAAUCUAUCAUCUCCAUGUCUAUGGAAUCUAUCAUCUCCAUGUCCGUGUUAGACACGGUGCCUGUAGACUCCCUGGAGUAAAAAACAUUGGCAACCGAGCGCUGAAAGUAGCGAAUCACAGGACUCUGGAUUUGGUUGCUCUUGGACUGCGUAGAGUUUAGCGGUACAUUGUUCCCAAUAGUAACCCACAAAUCCUUAAGCUCUUCCCUGUCAAACCUAGGUUUGGUUCCCUUUCCACUAGGGAAACCAAACAGUUCUUCCAACUUCUUGAUCGAAAGCUGAUACCGCUGUUCAUCCACUGAGAACGUCAAGAACCCUAAUCCCAUGGUAUCCAGCUCAAAGUCCGUGAGACCCUGAUACAUUUCUACUUGCAGUGUGGAAAGAAACUCGAUCGUCUCCUCCUUAUAGGCAGCGUAAGGGUAAGACAUGAGUGUCUUCAGAUGACACUUCUCGAACAGAUGCUGCACGUCCUCCAGUAACCCCAGCUAGACGAAAGUCUCAUAGCAGGGAUACCUCGUUCCCCAGAAGUCGUUCAUCUCAAAGAAUCUGAUAUACUCCUCCAUUGUAACCUCGUCGGGUUUAUUCAGUAGCUUCGUCUCCUUGCGCCAUGACUCUGGCUCAUACUCAGUUUCGAUGUCCUUAUCAAUCAGCUCAUAUCUACUCGACAUCGCUCUCUUUCCUCUAGCAAUUUUAGCUCUUCUCUGAUCACGUCGAGCUGCGGAGCGUUCAAAUUCAUCCCUGAAGCUCUCGUAAACAUGUUCCUCUCUCUCCGGUCUAGUGGACCAAGACUCAGCUUCAUCCACAUUAUAAUCAGGAUCCAUAGGGGAUUCUCCACUGUAGUUACUCAUGAUGAAACCUGGAGACAGAUGAAACUCAAAGAUAAACGUUAAUACGUUAGUAACAGCAAAACCAAAAACACAAUCUAACCAGUGUACCGGUCGAGCGAAACUAGUUUCGUGGUUAGAGUGAGGCGGUGGUCGAGUGGUGAGGUUGAAGAGGAGGAGAGCAGCUGCGGUUUGACCGUGGAAAUAAAGGAGUGGUCGAGUGAACUGUGAGGUGAAAGCGGGCUUGUGGCCGAGUGGUGUUGCUUUGGCGGUGAAUCGAUGAAGCUGUGAGGGAGCAACGGUCGAGUAACUAGUGGAUUAUAAAUGAGCUGCGGC
rnacentral:sRNA from 1 species